GACUCCGUGGUGCAAUGGUCGCGCUUCUGACUCCAGAUCAGAAGUCUGCGUGUUCAAGUCUCGUCGGGGUCA
rnacentral:tRNA from 1 species